GGGUUGUGAGGUUAAGCGACUAAGCGUACACGGUGGAUGCCCUGGCAGUCAGAGGCGAUGAAGGACGUGCUAAUCUGCGAUAAGCGCCGGUAAGGUGAUAUGAACCGUUAUAACCGGCGAUUUCCGAAUGGGGAAACCCAGUGUGACUCGUCACACUAUCAUUAACUGAAUCCAUAGGUUAAUGAGGCGAACCGGGGGAACUGAAACAUCUAAGUACCCCGAGGAAAAGAAAUCAACCGAGAUUCCCCCAGUAGCGGCGAGCGAACGGGGAUGAGCCCAGAGCCUGAAUCAGCAUGUGUGUUAGUGGAAGCGUCUGGAAAGGCGCGCGAUACAGGGUGACAGCCCCGUACACAAAAGCGCAUAUGCUGUGAGCUCGAUGAGUAGGGCGGGACACGUGGUAUCCUGUCUGAAUAUGGGGGGACCAUCCUCCAAGGCUAAAUACUCCUGACUGACCGAUAGUGAACCAGUACCGUGAGGGAAAGGCGAAAAGAACCCCGGCGAGGGGAGUGAAAAAGAACCUGAAACCGUGUACGUACAAGCAGUGGGAGCCCCACCACUAAGCCAGUGGUGAACUCCACAUACGCAUCCUUUGCUGAGGAUGCGGUUAACGGAGCGAAAGCGACGUUCAACCGCAAAAGAAGCAGAGGGGGCUUAGUGGUGGGGUGACUGCGUACCUUUUGUAU
rnacentral:rRNA from 1 species